AAAAGGCAUCAGCAGGAGGUGGCUUGACCAUGUUUUUGCGGUGAUCUGAAGAAGAGAUCAAUAGGGCAGGCGGAUGGAACACCUGUUUCUGAGGCAGAAUCAACAAGACUUGGGAAUCGAUGGACUGGCGGGCUCUGGAGACGGAGAGUUCGCAUUGACGUUCAUGUUUUAUCCAGGACAGACAAAGGACAGUUUUCAGGCGUGGCCAGUAAGAGACUGUAAAACAGGACGAAGGAUCUGAAAAGGUGUUCACAGAGCAGAACUCCCAGCAUGCAAGCAAAAGUCACAGAGGUCUCGUCCCACCUGUGACCCACAAACCGGAUGUCGAGCCAAACCGAGACGCGGUUUCCACCACAUCAGAUGAGGGCCCGGCACCCGGAAAAACUCCAUCAGUAUUUACCAGACAGACGACCUGAUGGACAGAUAAUGCUGUUGGAACCGGAGGCUGCAGGAGACGCAUGAUUUCUACCUGACUCUCAGAGCCCCUCACCUGUGUGUUUUCGUUCUUGUGCAUACCCCAUUCAAAGGCACCCAAAGAUGUGCCUGGACCAGUGCGGGGGUGGUUGCAGAGCUGAGCCCCUUCUGCAUCCCUGUCCCCAUCCCUCCUGUGCCCACCACCGAGUCUCAGUGAGAUGAGUCAAUGGCCUGCUCCCUCUCUCCAGAUUGCUUAUUGCCCUUAGCAACAAAGGGAGGCUCAGACCGUCACCAUGGAAACUGCAGCCGAGUGGAGAAGGGCGGGUGGGGAAGGGGCCCAGAGCACCCCGGAAACUGGAACGCUGAGCUGACACACAGUAGGCCUUCCUUUACAGGAUGAAAGAGGCUCGAGGCAGCCCCGCCCCCACUGCUCAUUUUUAU